AGUAGUUGAUCAUGGCUCGAGGACGAACGCUGGCGGCGUGCUUAACACAUGCAAGUCGAACGGAAAGGCCCUUCGGGGUACUCGAGUGGCGAACGGGUGAGUAACACGUGGGUGAUCUGCCCUGCACUUUGGGAUAAGCCUGGGAAACUGGGUCUAACACCGGAUAGGACUACGGCCUGCAUGGGUUGUGGUGGAAAGCUUUUGCGGUGUGGGAUGGGCCCGCGGCCUAUCAGCUUGUUGGUGGGGUGAUGGCCUACCAAGGCGACGACGGGUAGCCGGCCUGAGAGGGUGACCGGCCACACUGGGACUGAGAUACGGCCCAGACUCCUACGGGAGGCAGCAGUGGGGAAUAUUGCACAAUGGGCGCAAGCCUGAUGCAGCGACGCCGCGUGGGGGAUGACGGCCUUCGGGUUGUAAACCUCUUUCAGUAGGGACGAAGCGUAAGUGACGGUACCUAUAGAAGAAGCACCGGCCAACUACGUG
rnacentral:rRNA from 1 species